GGGCAUAUGGUGUAGUGGUAUCACGCCUCAUUUGCAUAUGUAUGCGUCUUGAGGCGGCCCAGGGUUCGAUCCCCUGUGUGUCCA